CAAAGGGAAAAGAAAAGGGUGUACAACAGAGCAAAGGGAAAAGAAGCUCCACACGUUGAACAUUGAUUUGAUGUGUCAAUAUUGAUAGAGGGUCACGUGGGAAAGGUUCAUAGAGGUACAGUACUUCCAUGACUUUAUGCAUGUAGGAAGUCCUCUUUUGUAAGGGCUGUGUCAGAAGGACACAUGCGUAUGUGGGUUGAAAGGAUUGAGAUCCCGUGCAAUACCUAGGGUAUUGCACGGGGUGCAAUAGCUUAAAUCCUAGCCUUCCAUUCAAUCUAAUGGCUCUAAAAUACCUCCACGUCAUCGAUCCGCGUCACUUAGGAAAAAAAAAUUUUAAUUCACUCUCAUUCCUUUUUCUCUCAUUUUUUUUUUCUUCUGUUCAUCUCUCUCUCUCCAACUUUUCACUCCGCAGUCCUCUCCUCUGUUCUCUCUAAUUCUCAAAAUUUUCAAAAAAUCCUGAUGUUGCUGACUUGCUUUUGCCGCUACCACUCUCACGCCAAACCACCGUCAUCGCCACCAUGGCGCCACUUACCAGCCACCAUUUCUCUCCCCCAACGAUCUAUCAACCCCUGCUAUGCCUCUGUCGGCUCCACUGCCUAGCAUCUCCAAUCUGCACCGCCGGCCCAAUCACUUCCCAGAUGAUAGAGCAUAGAGCUCCAGCCAAGCUAUAUUGCCAGAAAAGGUUUUGAAGCAUUCCUUAUGGAUUGAUAUCUUGAUGCUAGCAAGACUAAUUUUCAGUGUCAUUAAAUUUUUAGACUUGAUAUGAAUGAACUUCUUUUUACUUCGAAACAUGUAAUGAGACAAAAAAGACUUGCUUGAGUUUUAUGUUGUAUCAUUCAAUUUUGACACUUGAGUGUCCCUGUUUAUGUAUACAAAAACCCUUACAAUGAUGUAUAGUACAAACCAAGAGAAUGUAAUAAAGUGCAAUUAUUCUUUUCUUGAUA